rnacentral:rRNA from 1 species
CGCAAGCCUGACGGAGCAAGACCGCGUGCGGGAUGACGGCCUAAUGGUUGUAAACCGCUUUUCUCUGGGAAGAAGAUGACGGUACCAGAGGAAUNAGCCUCGGCUAACUCCGUGCCAGCAGCCGCGGUAAUACGGAGGAGGCAAGCGUUAUCCGGAAUUAUUGGGCGUAAAGCGUCCGUAGGUGGUUAUUCAAGUCUGCUGUCAAAGCGUGGGGCNUAACUCCAUAGAGGCAGUGGAAACUGGAUGACUUGAGUGCGGUAGGGGUCGAGGGAAUUCCCAGUGUAGCGGUGAAAUGCGUAGAUAUUGGGAAGAACACCAGUGGCGAAAGCGCUCGACUGGGCCUGCACUGACACUGAGGGACGAAAGCUAGGGGAGCG